rfam:Picea glauca, whole genome shotgun sequence.
ACAUGCCUACAACAUAGAGUUAAUGCAUCGGAUCCCAUUAGAACUCCACAGUUUAGCGCGCUCGGUCUAGAGUAGUACUGCAAUGGGUGACCGCUCGGGAAGUACUAGUAUUUUACAUGCC